rnacentral:rRNA from 1 species
GACGAACGCUGGCGGCGUGCUUAACACAUGCCAGUCGAGCGGAAAGGCCCUGCUUUUGUGGGGUGCUCGAGUGGCGAACGGGUGAGUAACACGUGAGUAACCUGCCCUUGACUUUGGGAUAACUUCAGGAAACUGGGGCUAAUACCGGAUAGGAGCUCCUGCUGCAUGGUGGGGGUUGGAAAGUUUCGGCGGUUGGGGAUGGACUCGCGGCUUAUCAGCUUGUUGGUGGGGUAGUGGCUUACCAAGGCUUUGACGGGUAGCCGGCCUGAGAGGGUGACCGGCCACAUUGGGACUGAGAUACGGCCCAGACUCCUACGGGAGGCAGCAGUGGGGAAUAUUGCACAAUGGGCGGAGGCCUGAUGCAGCAACGCCGCGUGCGGGAUGACGGCCUUCGGGUUGUAAACCGCUUUCGCCUGUGACGAAGCGUGAGUGACGGUAAUGGGUAAAGAAGCACCGGCUAACUACGUG